GCCUCCGUGGUCCAGUGGUUGAAUGUUGGGCUAACGAUCCGGAGGUCCCGGGUUCGAAUCCCGGUGGGGACA
rnacentral:tRNA from 1 species